UCUUCUUGUUCACGACAACAACAAGCCACACCCAUCUCCCUUUUUUCUUCAACACAACACACACACAUUACAAGCAUAUAUGAAGCAUAUUAUGAAUAUCUAAGCAAGUUCUAGCCAUGGAGAUGCACUAGGAAGCAUUCUUGCAAGGAUUGGAGCUUCAACCCUUUCUUAUAAUCUUCAUCUUCUUCAUUAGUUGCUUCCCUACCCUUGUUGCUAGUAGCAACUAGUGGAUCCUUGCACUUCAUGAAACAAGAACGAGCAUGUCAAGAAAGCGAUGUCAUCCUUUUGGAGGAUUUAGUUCACAUCUCCCGCCCUUGUGCGAAAGAUGGAAUGCAAAACCUCAAUCUGUUAAAACUUUAUUUUUGUACAAGUUUUUUUAUGAAACAAUAUAACUUGUGAUGUCUUUUGGAAACAACUUAUGACUUGUAAACUAUUUCUUGUU